rnacentral:lncRNA from 1 species
AGGGGAAAUCCAUGGAGAUCUUCAGAGGUUUUCCUCUUUUUUCCCUUGCCCCGGAUAGGUGCCUUGGGGGCUGAAACUGAAGGUCUGGCAGCAGGAGCCUUCUUCCUCGAAGACACCUUGCAAGGCUAAAUACUCCUGGGUGACCGAUAGCGAAGUAGUACCGUGAGGGAAGGGUGAAAAGAACCCCCAUCGGGGAGUGAAAUAGAACAUGAAACCU